ensembl:lncRNA
CAGAUGACUGAUGCAAUAAGCUCUUAAGUAUGCUCAUACAGAUCGAGGAAAUGCGUUAAUGGAAAAUCUUGAUUUUCUCGGAAAUCAGAUAACAUGAACAUUACUCCUGGCACGCCUUUGAAAUACCAAGCAAUGUGUAAUCAAUUCUCCUAUCCGGUUUCUAAAUGCCUCUAACAACAUUCCAGCCCUCAGCUCACUUGGAACAUCUCUCCUGUUAUGCUGAUUGUUCCUGGGAAGGAUGAUUAGAAGUUAGACGCCUUGUUCAUCUCUUUUUCUCUUCUGGAUUUCAACUUGAAGACAGCAGAGGGCGCCUGACUACAUGAAAGGUACGCUCUAAACAUUAGAUUUAAGAUUAUUCAUUAAAGUUUCAAAAAUGUGAAUUUCACUAAAAUAGGACUUUGUAUUUCAUCUACUAUUUUUGGAUUCUGAUCUCAUUUUAAAUGUUCUCUUCUCCUUCUUUUUUGGUAAUGAGAGUUUCAACCUCACGUAAAUCACCAUGACACUAUUAAUUCCAAGAACCUUCCAAUUUAGCUUCACGAUUCUUUCAGAUAAUGUAAGUAUUGAAUCCUGCAUCUACCAGAUCCUUCAAAAUCUUCAGUAGGGAAUAGGAUCCCCCUUUGGUAGCUCUUAAGAGGUGACCACUAUAAUGUGUUGCAAACAGAUGUGCUGUGACUGAAGGGCCAUCUUGCUUCAAGUGCAUUGCCCCCAGAUUACCCAGUUCUCGGAAAAGGAUACAAGGAUUAGGUACGUUCUUAGACAUAUUGCACUAGAGGGAAUGGAACAAUUUCCCUCUGGCAGUAUUGAGGCUUUGACCCCGUGUUGCUCACCGUUGAGGGUAAUUAUGUCUGCAGGCUCAGGGGCCAGGUUCCUGUCAAAUUCUGCAUUCCCUUCUGACUGACUUCUAGCUGGUUCUUUUCUCUGGCAUCUGGAAUGUCCUCCCAUUCUCCUACCAUCAAUGCUGGAGACAGCAGCAGCCUGAAUCCUAGUCUACCCCGCCCUCAUAGUUCCCCAGUUAUAUUUUCCUUCCUGAAGACUAGGUUUAUGGACAAGGCUUGGAGCUGGCUGAAAAAGGAUUCCUCCCUGGCUGCUCACUGAUUAAUAAAUUGAUUGGAUCUAAGUUGAUUUCACUACCUAUCAGGAUUCUAGGACUUCUUUGGCAACCCACUCCAGUAUUCUUGCCUGGAUAAUCUCACAAACAUCAGAGGUUGGUGGGCAGAGUUGGACACAACUGAAAUGACUUAGCACAGCACUCAUAAUCAACAGAAAUUGAUAAGAAGCCAGAGAAGGUUCCCUUGCUUGCUCCCAGACAGGGGAUGGGGCAGGUGAGCUGGUUUUAUACAGGUGAGGGUAGGGUUGGCCCAGGAGUGGGAGGUGGUGGCUUGCUCAUUCCCUUAGUGGCGCUGUGUGCAAGGAUCAUGUACAGUAACCAUGCUUUCGUUUCUGACUUCUCAGAAGUGGCAGUUGGGGUUUUUGUCUUUUUGUAUCAUGCUCAUAAUUUGCCCCAACUGUGCAUGCAU